rnacentral:lncRNA from 1 species
AAAUAAAUGAAACGAUCCUAUUAUUAUUAUACGAAACAUAUUAUGGCUUACAUGAGAGAGAGACUACUGAUAAAUUGAAGAAAAAUAGUGCUUAACUGCGAACAAUUAACAAUAUAUCAAAACAAAAGAGAGAAUGAAAAGGUUUUUAAAAAGUUCAAUUUACGUAAGCCCUUGGCGCGGCUGCUUGCUUUCUCAUGCAUUAUGGUUGUCAGAGGUAGCCUCCAUAUAUGCCAUGAGCUUUAGUGCGUCGUCCACACAUUUCUUGAAGCACUCUCUCUCGGUCCUCUCGGUCCUCUCGCCUUUUUCCAACUGUAUGUAUCCAUCGAAGGACAUCUUAGUGGAAUUUUCUUUGGUCUCCUCCUCUAUAAACCCAUCAAUACUAAUCCGACCCUCAAGUCCCUUGAAAAGGUUCUUGUUACCCAAGCUUCCUUCAAAACAACACUUGUUAAUGGAAUCUUUCAGGUUCUUCAGGGCUUCCUUCACAUUUAUGGGAUCCAUAGGGGACGAUACCUUAAACAAAUGAGUUAGAUUUGCGAGUCAAUUUUUCAGGAAAACACAGCUCACAAUACGACACGUUAGGGCACAGAGCCUAAUGAGCAAAUCGAACAUAUACAUCUAAGCAAAAAAAAAAAAGAAAAGGAGAGUGUCUCACGGAUUCGCUGUUGAAGUAAGAUAUGGAUGGAUUCGUAAGUCGUAUUAGUUAGAUCUGAGAAUUGUGAUUUUCUUUGAUUCCCUUUGAUUUAAGCUUAUAUAUAUAUGUAAUAUGUGUGUGUGUCUUUGAAUGGAUGGUCACCAUUAUUG